CAGCAGCCGCGGUAAUACAGAGGGUGCGAGCGUUAAUCGGAUUUACUGGGCGUAAAGCGUGCGUAGGCGGCUUCUUAAGUCGGAUGUGAAAUCCCUGAGCUUAACUUAGGAAUUGCAUUCGAUACUGGGAAGCUAGAGUAUGGGAGAGGAUGGUAGAAUUCCAGGUGUAGCGGUGAAAUGCGUAGAGAUCUGGAGGAAUACCGAUGGCGAAGGCAGCCUCCUGGGCCAAUACUGACGCUCAUGCACGAAAGCGUGGGGAGCAAACAGGAUUAGAUACCCCUGUAGUCCCUGUCUCUUAUCC
rnacentral:rRNA from 1 species